AAGAAAGUGAAAGGCAGAACUGAGGGAAAGAAAGAAAGUGAAAGGCAGAACUGAGGGAAAGAAAGAAAGUGAACGAAAGAACUGAGGGAAAGAAAGAAAGUGAACGAAAGAACUGAGGGAAAGAAAGAAAGUGAACGAAAGAACUGAGGGAAAGAAAGAAAGUGAACGGCAGAACUGAGGGAAAGAAAGAAAGUGAACGGCAGAACUGAGGGAAAGAAAGAAAGUGAACGGCAGAACUGAGGGAAAGAAAGAAAGUGAACGGCAGAACUGAGGGAAAGAAAGAAAGUGAAAGGCAGAAAGAAGUGAACAGAAUGAGAAGCACAAGCUAAACAAGUGAAUGAUGAAAUAAAGGAGAGGAGGGAAGCUAAAGAUGGAUGGACAGAUGGAAAGAAAGAAGGGUGGAGAAACCAAGGAGGAUAGACCGAAGGAGAAUAAAAUGGAAGAAAAACUCCAGUAUCAGCAGAAGCUGCAUUCUGUCUCUUUGCCUCAAUGAAUGCAUUCAUGUCCAGUCUGUUCCAGUUCUUAAUCUGUCUGGAAGGAUCAUCACGUUCUCUCCUCCGUUUACUCGUUUAGCAAUUCCCACCCACCACCCUCCUCUCCCCUGUUAUACACCGGCUACAACCGUGGGAGGGUGAAGGCUAACACGUGCUUCCUCUGAGACACGUGAAGCCAACCACCUGCAUCUUCUCGAACUGCUGCUCCUGCUGCAUCACAGGGCAGUGGAACACGGAGAGGAGCGCUAUCUGCCCUCUUCCACAUACACGAACUCACAGGUGCGCACACAGUACGCUGUCCCUCUCACCCAGCGAGCAUGGCCACGGAUGAUCAAACUCCCGAUCUCCCCGUAAUGCGGGGAACGCUUUUCCACGGACUACUUUUUUCCCCCGAUGCUCAUUUGAUCUGGUUUUUUUUUGUGCCACCAUAUUGUCUAUGAAAUUGUUUGUAUUGUGUAAACAUAAAAAAAGUCUUGCAUACGUUUGCACCGAGACUUUUUUUAUAUGUCAAAGUUUAUGAAAGUUCGGAAUCAGUACCGGUAUACAAAAAAAAAAAAAAAAGUGUACCACUAUAGGUUCUACUUUAGUCCGUCUCUUAAAGUGUUCUCCGUUGCUUCUUUGGUUAGUUAAUCCUCAACGCUGUCGACCAGCCGCAGUCUUCAAGGACAGAGAUCAGACAGACAGAGGCCCCAUGCCCAACCCCCCCCCCACACACACACACACACACACACACCUUUUGUUUUUGUUUUUUUCUUUCACUCGGGUCGGGUCAGGUAGAGAUAGAGAGUGUGGGAUUUAAACAAGAGGCCGUAAUGGAGUGUAAACGCUGAUACAGUUUAAAAAGUAAGAACAAGAAACGAAAUGGGGAGAGAGAGAGAGAGACAAGAGCGAGAAAGAAAAAAGCAAAGAAAGAAUGAAUGAUGGAAGAACGAAAGAAAAAGAAAGAAGGGAUAAAAAUGAGCAUAGGAAAGAAAGACGGCGAGAGAGAGAAAUGAGGGAAAGAAAGACAGUGAAAGACAGAAAUGACGGAAAGA